UUCAGGCAGUUUUUGCAGUUCGGAACAGUUGGAGCCCUUCUGAAUGUCCGUUUGAGCUCAAAUUUGACAGGCAGGCUCAGUUUAACGUACUGAGUAAGAAUAUAUUUUAAGUUUUCAGUUUCGACACCAUUUGGUCACCGAAAACUGUGCCAAACUGUAAUCUUUAUCAGAUAGCUGUCGGAUUUUAUUUCUCACUCUACGGGUGUCAGAAAGAUAUGAAACUUUAAAUCUAGUCUCAUAAAAAUAUUUCUGACUUAUCCUCCAAUUUUCACAAUUUUCUGAGACUGUGCAUUUUCUGCUAAUUUAUCUGUCCCAUUUCCAACAGAAAAUUCUAGAUCUUCUGUUUUCAUUCCGAUUUCAGCACAAGUCACUUCUGACUUAUAUUUUACUUAUAUAAAUCCAAUAAAAAUAGUUUCUCACACUAUUUUUAUUUAUUUUUAUUUUUAUACUAAAAUCUGGUAUGUUACAAUG
rnacentral:lncRNA from 1 species